AGGGCCGUUCCUUUGUCUGCUGCCUUCCAACGGAAAGUUUUGGGUUCGGUCCAGAAACGGCGGGGAAGUCGGGGAUGGCGAAAGGAGCCGCGGGUCUGGAGCUGAAGGUUGUGGCGUUGAAUUUGGAAUCCUAAAGAAUCCGUGUUUGAUUUAUAACUGUUUUAUUUCCUUUCAGUUUGAAAUGCCGUCGUAGCGAUGUAGGAAAAAGGAGUUUUGGCCUCUGCCCUACAACUGAAUCUGCUGCUCUGCCACCCCUGCGUGAGCGCACGGAGAGAGGAAGGCUCUGAGCCGUGCCUGGGCUCACGCAGUGCCUUCCCAGGGCUGUGCUCCCAAUCAGGAUUUUCUGCUAAUGCGUUUACGGUUACUUAAAGCUUAGGCUGGGGAGCACAGAGAGGCCUUUGCUGAGUUAGGAGGUUGGGAAGGAGCAGAUGCUGAGAGCUGUGCUUACGGUGUGUGAGAGGAUUCUGGCCGGAUGGGACGUGUUUGGUGACUUCAUGCUUGCAGAGCAGCCUUAUCUGUUUUGUUUAAGACCUCGUUGUGGAGGUCUCCGUGUCUCUGGUUUCCUUUAAAUGCUGCUUGCUGUGUAAUGGUAGUGCUUGAAUGGGGAAUUAAGAGGAUGUUCUUCUCUCCUGCUGGGGGGAAAAAAAACCUCAAAUAUUUAAAAGCGAACCCUUGGUGUUUUGAAGGUAACGUUGGGAAUAGUGAUGAUGUCCAGCACUUCUUUUUUCUUAAUUAUUUUCUUUCCUGAUGCCAGUGUUGGAACAGCUGGCAAAAACUGGUCACUGAUCUUCCUUGUGUUCUCCGGAUCGCAGAUCUUGACUAAGUGAUUUCCUUGCUGCUUGGUGUGGGCAGUUGAGUCAGGGCUGCUCUGCAGAAGGCAGCGUUGCUACCUGUAAUUCCACAUUCCCUCAAAGGCUCAUGGAUGAAUACCUGCUGCUGAGAGAGGAUUUAAUUAAGGAGCUGGUCACUCUGGUGUAGCUUUUUAGAAAGUGGGAGCUCCUUGAUCUAGUCUGGUGCUAUACAAGCGUUACGAGGAUUGAGUAGGAGUGAAAAACAUUUAUUUGUUGUUCUUGCAUCAUGAUCUUACCUUUUGCCAUGUGUUAGAAGGCUCUUGAAGAAAAGUCAAUAAAACACAGGCCUUCAUUGUGCUCUGGUCAUGAGCUGAGCUGGCAAAGCUUUGUUAGCUUGAAAUUAAAGUGAGUCUUCAUUAGAGGUCAGCUGUGAAGUGCCAGAAAAGCGGAAUUCAUGAGUGAUCACAAAGUGGAGCUUUGAGUGGAAAAAUUGAGAGUUAUUGAGUUGUUUCUCUUAGCUGUUUGAAGCUAAUCAGUGAGGUGCGAGGCAGAAUUGCAAAGCAGGGUGGAUUUAUCACUUUGAAACCACUGCAAAACAUGCAACUUCCUUUCUAUUCUGUAAGCCAGUCGUUUGGUUUGUUCCCUCUUUUCUGUGCUUGUUAAUUCUGAGGUCUUGUCUUCUAGAUCUAAUGACAGUAGCACAAAGCAAAGGACAGAUUUUCUUUUCCUGAAGCCAGGGCAGGUCCACAGAAGAGAUCUGACUACUCACAUGCUUUUCAUUUCCUUAGAACACAUCUUUAUCUGGAAAAUCAGUACGUGUGCUGGUGGUGUGAUGCCAGCUGAGCACAUGGACUUCUUACAGAAACAAAGCCUUCCUGUAGUUUGGCCUCUGGUGGGAGGAGAAAAUGCUGCCCAGGCAGUGGCUCUGCAGCAUGUGAGCUGAUUGCUCCCCUGUUCUGGUUGUGCCAGACCUGUCUGAGCACCAUCACCAGGGCAGGACGGCGCAUCGGAAGCGUGGCUGGACUGGCCGAGCCACUUAAGGCUGCAGGAAGUAACGUAAUUAAUAAGACUUAGCUCUCCCACAUCUUGUACCUGACAAUCUCAAGUCACUUGACAGUGCUAAUUAAAGCUAAUCACGCUCCUCUGUUUUUAGUAAAUAGCUAUUAUCCCCACUUCACUCUUGCUUUAAUGAAUGGCAGUGUCAGGCGAUGUGAAUCACUGGCAGUGGUGGGAAUGCAACCUGUGCAUGAUGCCUUCCUGUCCUUGGGCCAGCUUACACGUCUGCCUGAACAUGGCUGCUUCACGCCUGUUCCAGCACUGUUACAGCACAUUAGAAGGUGGGAUGUCCUGCUGACUCACAGAUAUAUAACUUUUCACCUGACUGUGGUUGCCCUCAUGCAGCACUGAUCUCCCUGCAUCUUGCUAAAAAGUUGGAAAAGUUGAGGAUGCUUUGAGUUUGCCCUUCAGAGGAGCUUUUGAUCCUCUGAGUGGGAAGGCAGAGCGGUGUCAGAACUGCACUCUCGCUUCUCCUGUUUCAUGUUGGCAGCGACUUCAUUAUGAGGAGAAAAAUGUAGUGUGGUGUGACCUAGGGAUUGCACAGCUCAGCCUCAGAACUCUGCAAGAGUUAAAUUUCACUGAUGAAACGUUAGCAGAGGAUGGCUCAAGCAAUGUGGUAUUAUAAAAAGAUUGUCCAGCCUCACAAAAAAAAGAGUUAAUAAUUAACUGUGAAAAAAAAUCUUAAUGAGAAUCCCAGGAACUCCCUCCAGAAGCAUUUGUCUGUAGGCAUGGAACUGUGAGAGGCGAGUCAGCUCACAUACCUUGGCAGCACUGUGCAGGCUGGUGAGGAUAUCCAGGAGGAACUAAACCACAAACUGGUAGGGUAACAGCUGACUUGACCAUUUAAACUCAGUUCAGUUAUAAAGUAUCUGUCGUGUGUGAAGAGUGGAGCUGUAAAUCUUCACCUGUAUUUUCUCCCUUGGCAUAGGUACUUUGUGCUGUCAGUGGAAAUGUGAGCUAGAAGAAUGAUGACUGAACUGCCAUGGAAAAUAUGUACCUCGUUAAUGUGGCAGCUGUUGCAUAGAAGAAAGAGUUUCUGAAGGAGUCAGCCGUGAGCUGUAGCUUAAUGCAAGAAAGCUUCUGCUGAGAAUGCAGCCAUCCUCUGGAACUGCUUGUAGUGACACCAUUGCACUUGAGCUCCUGAAAAUGCACUGAUGUGGACGUUGGCUUCUUUUAAACCUUUUUUUUUUUCCUGUUUAAUUUGAUUGAAUCUCCAAGCUAGCAAAAGGGCCUUUGACUACAUAUAUCAUCCUUUGCUAUCUUCAGAUCUGGCUUCAACUUUCCAAAGCUGUUGCUGAUCUACGCUGUGCUGUGAGUCUCCCAGACUGCCCCAGGAUCCUCACUGCAUGAUCUAAGUGCAAAGACUCCCAGCUCUGCCAGCUCUCUGGAGCCUCAGCAUCUGCACUUCUGACAUUGAUCCUGCAGGGAAUGGGAGAACCCAGCCUGCCCUCUUACUGUGUUGUGUUAGAGACCAGCCUCUCUCAAGCUGCAGUGCAUUAAGCAUUGUUCAGGUAGUUUCCACGUGAAGAAAGCACUGAUAAGUACAUGUGCUUGCCUCGAGCUUUUUAUUAAAACCAUGCUAAGAACCUGGAGCAGUGUUGGCUGCUAAGGUUGGUGACCUUGUGGAAACAAAGAACUCCCCAGUCUGAUUCCCCCUAUGCUCUAAUUGCACUCAGCAUAAGUACAUCUCUAGUUCUUCCUAUGUUAAUGAGAAGAGACACCAAAGAGGGAAGGUUGGGUUUCCAGACAGAUGGGCUUUUUCAGAACUGCUCCAGGCAGCUUUCUGUGGCAUUUGCUGUGUUCUGCUAAGCAUUUUACCAGCUAAAGUCUUAAAAAGCAAAUAAUCUGUAAUACAAACCCUCAAACCCAACA